rnacentral:rRNA from 1 species
GAUGAACGCUGGCGGCGUGCCUAAUACAUGCAAGUCGAGCGAACAGAUGAGGAGCUUGCUCCUCUGACGUUAGCGGCGGACGGGUGAGUAACACGUGGAUAACCUACCUAUAAGACUGGGAUAACUUCGGGAAACCGGAGCUAAUCCCGGAUAAUCUAUUGAACCGCAUGGUUCAAUAGUGAAAGACGGUUUUGCUGUCACUUAUAGAUGGAUCCGCGCCGCAUUAGCUAGUUGGUAAGGUAACGGCUUACCACGGCAACGAUGCGUAGCCGACCUGAGAGGCGGAUCGCCCACACUGGAACUGGGCCACGGUCCAGACUCCUACGGGAGGCAGCAGUAGGGAAUCUGCCGCAAUGGGCGAAAGCCUGACGGAGCAACGCCGCGUGAGUGAUGAAGGUCUUCGGAUCGUAAAACUCUGUUAUGAGGGAAGAACAAAUGUGUAAGUAACUAUGCACGUCUUGACGGUACCUAAUCAGAAAGCCACGGCUAACUACGUG